GGCCCCAUAGUUCAAGGGAUAGAACGUGAGCCUCCGGAGCUCAAGAUCCAGGUUCGAGUCCUGGUGGGGCUA
rnacentral:tRNA from 3 species